UACGAAGGGGGCUAGCGUUGUUCGGAAUUACUGGGCGUAAAGGGCGCGUAGGCGGCUUCGCUAGUCGGGCGUGAAAUGCCUGGGCUUAACCCGGGAAUUGCGUUCGAUACUUCGAGGCUAGAGUGUGGGAGAGGUUGGUGGAAUUCCCAGUGUAGAGGUGAAAUUCGUAGAUAUUGGGAAGAACACCGGUGGCGAAGGCGGCUCACUGGCUCGUAACUGACGCUCAUGCACGACAGCGUGGGGAUCAAACAGG
rnacentral:rRNA from 1 species